GCGGAGGUAGCAGAGCUAGGUCAAAUGCGACAGACUCAAGAUCUGUUUCCGAAGGGAUACGCCGGUUCAAAUCCGGCCCUCCGCACUA
rnacentral:tRNA from 1 species